CAAUAGCGUAUAUUAAAGUUGUUGCAGUUAAAAAGCUCGUAGUUGAAUUUUUGCUUGCCGCCGAUGUCGGAACUUCCGUACGUUCGGCGGCGUGCAUCCUUAGGUGGAACCUGUGUGGCAUUAGGUUGUCGUGCAGGGGAUGCUCAUCGUUUACUGUGAAAAAAUUAGAGUGUUCAAAGCAGGCUUACGCCGUUGAAUAUAUUAGCAUGGAAUAAUAAGAUAGGACCUUGGUACUAUUUUGUUGGUUUGCGCACCGAGGUAAUGAUUAACAGGGACAGUUGGGGGUAUUCGUAUUCCAUUGUCAGAGGUGAAAUUCUUGGAUUUCUGGAAGACGAACUACUGCGAAAGCAUUUACCAAGGAUGUUUUCAUUA
rnacentral:rRNA from 1 species